AACGAACGCUGGCGGCAUGCCUAACACAUGCAAGUCGAACGAACCCUUCGGGGUUAGUGGCGCACGGGUUCGUAACGCGUGGGAAUCUGCCCUUUGCUUCGGAAUAACUCAGGGAAACUUGUGCUAAUACCGGAUGAUGUCUUCGGACCAAAGAUUUAUCGGCAAGGGAUGAGCCCGCGUAGGAUUAGGUAGUUGGUGGUGUAAAGGCCUACCAAGCCGACGAUCCUUAGCUGGUCUGAGAGGAUGAUCAGCCACACUGGGACUGAGACACGGCCCAGACUCCUACGGGAGGCAGCAGUGGGGAAUAUUGGAAAAUGGGCGCAAGCCUGAUCAAGCAAUGACGCGUGAGUGAUGAAGGCCCUCGGGUCGUAAAGCUCUUUUACCAGGGAUGAUAAUGACAGUACCUGGAGAAUAAGCUCCGGCUAACUCCGUG
rnacentral:rRNA from 1 species